AAGGACCUGUCUGCUGGAGGAACGCUGUCUGCUUGAGGGAGGUUGUGAGAGGAGGGUAGAGGUCAGCCUGGAAAGUGACCUUUCUCAAGGGGGCACUGGGAGCCACUGACACUUUAAGCAGAACAAGUGACAGGAACAGAUUUUUGGUUUAAGAGAAUUUUUCAAUAUUUCUCAACCAUAUUAUCUGCCUCCUUUUGAGAAAUAGAAAAAGCCGACAUUUACUGUCACACUGGUCUUUAGAAAACAAUAGCUCAUGCCCAGCUCCCCAGAGCGCCUCCCUCACACCCCGAGGAGAUUGCCACAGCUUCCCUCACCCCAGAGCCAAGUCUGGCCUCACA